CCUACGGGCGGCAGCAGUGGGGAAUAUUGCACAAUGGGCGCAAGCCUGAUGCAGCCAUGCCGCGUGUGUGAAGAAGGCCUUCGGGUUGUAAAGCACUUUCAGCGGGGAGGAAGGCGUUAAGGUUAAUAACCUUGUCGAUUGACGUUACCCGCAGAAGAAGCACCGGCUAACUCCGUGCCAGCAGCCGCGGUAAUACGGAGGGUGCAAGCGUUAAUCGGAAUUACUGGGCGUAAAGCGCACGCAGGCGGUCUGUCAAGUCGGAUGUGAAAUCCCCGGGCUCAACCUGGGAACUGCAUUCGAAACUGGCAGGCUAGAGUCUUGUAGAGGGGGGUAGAAUUCCAGGUGUAGCGGUGAGAUGCGUAGAGAUCUGGAGGAAUACCGGUGGCGAAGGCGGCCCCCUGGACAAAGACUGACGCUCAGGUGCGAAAGCGUGGGGAGCAAACAGGAUUAGAUACCCGAGUAGUC
rnacentral:rRNA from 1 species